rnacentral:rRNA from 1 species
GAGUUUGAUCCUGGCUCAGAUUGAACGCUGGCGGCAGGCUUAACACAUGCAAGUCGAGCGGCAGCGGGAAAGUAGCUUGCUACUUUUGCCGGCGAGCGGCGGACGGGUGAGUAAUGCCUGGGAAAUUGCCCAGUCGAGGGGGAUAACAGUUGGAAACGACUGCUAAUACCGCAUACGCCCUACGGGGGAAAGCAGGGGACCUUCGGGCCUUGCGCGAUUGGAUAUGCCCAGGUGGGAUUAGCUAGUUGGUGAGGUAAUGGCUCACCAAGGCGACGAUCCCUAGCUGGUCUGAGAGGAUGAUCAGCCACACUGGAACUGAGACACGGUCCAGACUCCUACGGGAGGCAGCAGUGGGGAAUAUUGCACAAUGGGGGAAACCCUGAUGCAGCCAUGCCGCGUGUGUGAAGAAGGCCUUCGGGUUGUAAAGCACUUUCAGCGAGGAGGAAAGGUCAGUAGCUAAUAUCUGCUGGCUGUGACGUUACUCGCAGAAGAAGCACCGGCUAACUCCGUGCCAGCAGCCGCGGUAA